GAUGAACGCUAGCUACAGGCUUAACACAUGCAAGUCGAGGGGCAGCAUGGUCUUAGCUUGCUAAGGCCGAUGGCGACCGGCGCACGGGUGAGUAACACGUAUCCAACCUGCCGUCUACUCUUGGACAGCCUUCUGAAAGGAAGAUUAAUACAAGAUGGCAUCAUGAGUCCGCAUGUUCACAUGAUUAAAGGUAUUCCGGUAGACGAUGGGGAUGCGUUCCAUUAGAUAGUAGGCGGGGUAACGGCCCACCUAGUCUUCGAUGGAUAGGGGUUCUGAGAGGAAGGUCCCCCACAUUGGAACUGAGACACGGUCCAAACUCCUACGGGAGGUAGCAGUGAGGAAUAUUGGUCAAUGGGCGCAGGCCUGAACCAGCCAAGUAGCGUGAAGGAUGACUGCCCUAUGGGUUGUAAACUUCUUUUAUAAAGGAAUAAAGUCGGGUAUGUAUACCCGUUUGCAUGUACUUUAUGAAUAAGGAUCGGCUAACUCCGUG
rnacentral:rRNA from 1 species